AGGACGAACGCUGGCGGCGUGCUUAACACAUGCAAGUCGAACGAGGCGCUUGCGCCUAGUGGCGAACGGGUGAGUAACACGUGAGCAACCUGCCCUUGGCUCUGGGAUAGCCUCCGGAAACGGGGAUUAAUACCGGACAUGACCUUCUCCUGCAUGGGGGAGGGUGGAAAGUUUUUCGGCCAGGGAGGGGCUCGCGGCCUAUCAGCUUGUUGGGGGGUAACGGCCCACCAAGGCGACGACGGGUAGCCGGCCUGAGAGGGCGACCGGCCACACUGGGACUGAGACACGGCCCAGACUCCUACGGGAGGCAGCAGUGGGGAAUAUUGCACAAUGGGGGAAACCCUGAUGCAGCGACGCCGCGUGCGGGAUGAAGGCCUUCGGGUUGUAAACCGCUUUCAGCAGGGGCGAAUUCAGACGGUACCUGCAGAAGAAGCGCCGGCUAACUACGUGCCAGCAGCCGC
rnacentral:rRNA from 1 species